CCUCAGGGUUUUCCAGAGCUGAAGAAUGACACAUUCCUGCGAGCAGCCUGGGGAGAGGAAACAGACUACACUCCCGUUUGGUGCAUGCGCCAGGCAGGCCGUUACUUACCAGAGUUUAGGGAAACCCGGGCUGCCCAGGACUUUUUCAGCACGUGUCGCUCUCCUGAGGCCUGCUGUGAACUGACUCUGCAGGUGAGGGGUCCACAAAAGAGGGAAAGAUUUAUGCCUUCAGUCUUCCACCUAGCAACCUGUCUCCUGUUUCCUACAGCCACUGCGUCGCUUCCCUCUGGAUGCUGCCAUCAUUUUCUCCGACAUCCUUGUUGUACCCCAGGCACUGGGCAUGGAGGUGACCAUGGUACCUGGCAAAGGACCCAGCUUCCCAGAGCCAUUAAGAGAAGAGCAGGACCUAGAAUGCCUACGGGAUCCAGAAGUGGUAGCCUCUGAGCUAGACUAUGUGUUCCAAGCCAUCACCCUUACCCGACAACGACUGGCUGGACGUGUGCCGCUGAUUGGCUUUGCUGGUGCCCCAGUAAUGUGGCGCAGGGCAGGGACUUGGGGCGCGGGGAGAUCACUCUGGCAGGUCUGGGAUAGACAAAGGAAGGGUCAGUCUGGCUUCUGUGACAUCAUCUUUCUAUCCUUCUGUAGUGGACCCUGAUGACAUACAUGGUUGAGGGUGGUGGCUCAAGCACCAUGGCUCAGGCCAAGCGCUGGCUCUAUCAGAGACCUCAGGCUAGUCACCAGCUGCUUCGCAUCCUCACUGAUGCUCUGGUCCCAUAUCUGGUAGGACAAGUGGCGGCUGGUGCCCAGGUGAGUCCUGAGAGAGAAAUAGGCUGAGAUUUGGUCUGUGAGGACCAGAAGCAAGAGUGUCCUA
rnacentral:sRNA from 1 species